rnacentral:lncRNA from 1 species
AGACUUAUUAACAGAUUGCCCCAUUCAUUCUUGAAUCUGAUGCUAACAGUUCUAACGCAUAUGAUGAUGAUGAUGAUGAUGAUGAUGAUGAUGAUUGGGAAUAUAAAAGAACUCCCACACUAAGUGAAUAGUCUUCCCCCUACCUAUCUAUCUGUUUUGCUUUCUUCUAGAUCACAGACGUUUUAAUAACCACCUGUCUUGCUGCCAAGAGGGGGGUAUUCGAGAAUAAGCUAAACAAGCCCUGGUUCGGUUAACAGGUAAUGAAGGUAGUCCCUAGGAGAGGAUUGAAUCCCUUUCAUACGCUAUUCCUCGAUGCGCACUUGACACGCAAAGAAAGAUAAAAAGCAGUAUAGAAGACAUUAGAUCCUGCGGUACAUAAAACUUUUAUUAGAUCCUGCUUAGGGGUUCAGUACCACCAUUAGGUCCAGGUACUUAGUGCUCCCAUUUCCGUUGAUUGGACAACUGGCCUGCAUUAAUGGUGCUCCCUUACCUUCUCUCGUUGGGAAGUCAUUGAGGUGCUUUCAUUUUGGUGAGCAGUAGAUAGAUACCAAGGUUCUCCUUUCUUUGCCAGGAGAUAGGAAAUACUUGGUGUAGCUAUCGGGUCAUAUGGAGAAUGAUGGUGAUUCCAUGCUUUCGGGCUAGGCAUUUGAAUGG